AGGGGUAUAGCUCGGUGGUAGAGUGUGUGCUUAGCAUGCACGAGGUCCUGGGUUCGAUCUCCAGGACCUCCA
rnacentral:tRNA from 1 species